UGGGGAAUUUUGGACAAUUGGGCGAAAGCCUGAUCCAGCAAUGCCGCGUGUGUGAAGAAGGCCUUCGGGUUGUAAAGCACUUUUGUCCGGAAAGAAAUCCUUGGCUCUAAUACAGUCGGGGGAUGACGGUACCGGAAGAAUAAGCACCGGCUAACUACGUGCCAGCAGCCGCGGUAAUACGUAGGGUGCAAGCGUUAAUCGGAAUUACUGGGCGUAAAGCGUGCGCAGGCGGUUUGCUAAGACCGAUNUGAAAUCCCGGGCUCAACCUGGGAACUGCAUUGGUGACUGGCAGGCUAGAGUAUGGCAGAGGGGGGUAGAAUUCCACGUGUAGCAGUGAAAUGCGUAGAGAUGUGGAGGAAUACCGAUGGCGAAGGCAGCCCCUGGGCCAAUACUGACGCUCAUGCACG
rnacentral:rRNA from 1 species